UCCCCGUUGCCGGGGCAGUCUAGCUAGAGAAAUUCAACUAACUAUAAGGGUUGCGCUCGUUGAUGGACUUAACCAAACAUCUCACGACACGAGCUGACGACGGCCAUGCAUCACCUGUCAUUGGAUUCCCGAAGGCACUCUCUCCUUUCGGAGAAAUUCCCAAGAUGUCAAACCCUGGUAAGGUUCUUCGCUUACCAUCGAAUUAAACAACACGCUCCACCGCUUGUGCGGGUCCCCGUCAAUUCCUUUAUGUUUUAGUCUUGCGACCGUACUCCACAGGCGGGAUGCUUAACGCGUUAGCUUCGCUACAACCAGGGUCGAUACUGAUAACAGCUAGCAUCCAUAGUUUACGGCGUGGACUAC
rnacentral:misc_RNA from 1 species